UACGGAGGGUGCAAGCGUUGUUCGGAAUCACUGGGCGUAAAGGGCGUGUAGGCGGCCUGUUAAGUCCGAUGUGAAAUCCCCUCGCUCAACGAGGGAACUGCGUCGGAAACUGGCAGGCUAGAGUACCGGAGAGGAAGGUGGAAUUCCCGGUGUAGCGGUGAAAUGCGUAGAUAUCAGGAAGAACACCGGUGGCGAAGGCGGCUCGCUGGGCCAGUUCUGACACUCAUCCGCGAAAGCGUGGGGAGCAAACAGG
rnacentral:rRNA from 1 species